rnacentral:rRNA from 1 species
UUGCCGGCGACCGGCGCACGGGUAAGUAACACGUAUGCAACCUGCCCGUCUCAGGGGGAUAAUCGUCGGAAACGGCGUCUAAUACCCCGUAUGAAGCUGGACGGCAUCGUCUGGUUUUGAAAGAAUAUCGGAGACGGAUGGGCAUGCGGCGCAUUAGCUAGUUGGCGGGGUAACGGCCCACCAAGGCGACGAUGCGUAGGGGUUCUGAGAGGAAGGUCCCCCACACUGGUACUGAGACACGGACCAGACUCCUACGGGAGGCAGCAG